ensembl:lncRNA
CAUCUUUUAACGAAUGGAUGACAUUUGAGGCUAUAGGCAUUUCAGAACUUUAUUAAUGCAACAACCUUUUAUAAAUUCUUCAAAAAAUGUAUAUUUAAAUCAAGAAUCAACAGUGUGACGGAUAUCAUGUGACCGGUUAGUCUCCGAUCACUUUCUUCAUUACCCCGUAACUCCCAUAACUAACACUAACAAUUUCUCCUUUACAUCGAAGACUCACAACACACCAAAAACAUUUUAUAGGCAAAUUCAAUUCACUCUUGAUAUUAAAAAAGGUAAUCAAUGAAAGACCAAACUCCGGAAAGUCUAAAAGAUGAGCCAAGGGUUGAAUCUGUGUCUGCUGCGCGCGCACACACACACACACACACACACACACACACACACACACACACACACACACACACACACACACACACACACACACACACACACACACACACACACACACACACACACCAGAACUAAACCCUUACCAGACCUAAAACACCCUCAAUCCAGAACCCCUACCAGACCUAGACACCACCAAUCCAGGACCCCCACCAGACCUAGACACCACCAAUCAAGGACCCCUACCUGACCUGACCCUGAGGCCUCAGGGUCAUGAGCUCCGGUACUCAGAGCCAGAGGGGAGCUCAGUCUUGGGGGGGACCAGGAGUCAAAUCCAGAUAGAAGAUUGGGUUUCUUUACGUUCUUGUAAACAAAAUGGACUUGCAUGGACGUGAAAACCAAACUCUGAGCUCAAAAGGAGGAGGCAAUCAACGCUUCAAGUCAUCCCCAGUCUUUAGAUUUAGUCAAACUGAUCCUGGAGAAGACACUUUAACAUUGGAAUAAUGACCAUUUCACCAAAAGUUAAAGCGAUGUGAGAUUUUAAACCAGCAUCACUCGCUGUCACACUAAAAGAGGUAGCAUAUACCCACGUACAUUCAUAUUCCUCUGGAUUAAGGGUCAUCAUUUCGGGCAGGGCCUGAGUCCCAGGGGGACGGGGUCUGCGUCCCAGCGUUGGGCGGGCCUACUGGGCUGGCCCCGGUGGGCACAGCCUCCGGCCCCCUGGUCACAGGAGGAGCCAGCAGGGCAGCAGUGCAGGGAG